rnacentral:rRNA from 1 species
UGGGGAAUUUUGGACAAUGGGGGCAACCCUGAUCCAGCAAUGCCGCGUGUGUGAAGAAGGCCUUCGGGUUGUAAAGCACUUUUGUCCGGGAAGAAAUCGCACCUGAUAAUACCGGGUGUGGAUGACGGUACCGGAAGAAUAGGACCGGCUAACUACGUGCCAGCAGCCGCGGUAAUACGUAGGGUCCAAGCGUUAAUCGGAAUUACUGGGCGUAAAGCGUGCGCAGGCGGUUGUGCAAGACCGAUGUGAAAUCCCCGGGCUUAACCUGGGAAUUGCAUUGGUGACUGCACGGCUAGAGUGUGUCAGAGGGGGGUAGAAUUCCACGUGUAGCAGUGAAAUGCGUAGAGAUGUGGAGGAAUACCGAUGGAGAAGGCAGCCCCCUGGGAUAACACUGACGCUCAUGCACGAAAGCGUGGGGAGCAAACAGG